rnacentral:rRNA from 1 species
AAUGAACGCUGGCGGCAGGCCUAACACAUGCAAGUCGAACGGAUCCUUCGGGAUUAGUGGCGGACGGGUGAGUAACGCGUGGGAACAUACCCUUUGGUACGGAAUAGCCUCGGGAAACUGGGAGUAAUACCGUAUGUGGUCGAGAGACGAAAGAUUUAUCGCCAAAGGAUUGGCCCGCGUUGGAUUAGGUAGUUGGUGGGGUAAUGGCCUACCAAGCCGACGAUCCAUAGCUGGUUUGAGAGGAUGAUCAGCCACACUGGGACUGAGACACGGCCCAGACUCCUACGGGAGGCAGCAGUGGGGAAUCUUAGACAAUGGGGGAAACCCUGAUCUAGCCGUGCCGCGUGAUCGAUGAAGGCCUUAGGGUUGUAAAGAUCUUUCAGGUGGGAAGAUAAUGACUGUACCACCAGAAGAAGCCCCGGCUAACUCCGUGCCAGCAGCCGCAGUAA